UUUGUUUGAAAAUCUUAUAUUACGGAAUAAAUGGUAUAACUGAAAAAAAUAUUGGAUUUCACUAAUCCGUCUAAGAUUUUAACUCCAACUGAACUCAGAAUUACUUCAUAACUAAUUGUUAGCUUUUGAAAUUAUGAAGUAUUGUGUAGUUAAAUAUAAUAAAUCUGGUUAGUGUACUCCACGGAUUGUUGGUUUCAAAUGUAUUCAAUAAAUCAAAUGAUAUAAUAUUUAAAAAAGAUAACUGGACGUGGCCGCAGGUAUUAAUAUGACUUUUAUCCCUAGAGGUGUGCGUUAAAACAUUAUCCUUUUAUGCAAUCCGUACCGAUUAAAUCGAAUUCAAAUUAAUAUAGAUCAGUUGAAGUUUAGACUUUUAAAUUGUAGGACCACCACCUUAAAAUCGAUACAAAGGAGGAUGUAG
rnacentral:lncRNA from 1 species